AUUGAACGCUGGCGGCAGGCCUAACACAUGCAAGUCGAACGGUAACAGGAAGCAGCUUGCUGCUUCGCUGACGAGUGGCGGACGGGUGAGUAAUGUCUGGGAAGCUGCCUGAUGGAGGGGGAUAACUACUGGAAACGGUAGCUAAUACCGCAUAAUGUCGCAAGACCAAAGAGGGGGACCUUCGGGCCUCUUGCCAUCGGAUGUGCCCAGAUGGGAUUAGCUUGUUGGUGGGGUAACGGCUCACCAAGGCGACGAUCCCUAGCUGGUCUGAGAGGAUGACCAGCCACACUGGAACUGAGACACGCUCCAGACUCCUACGGGAGGCAGCAGUGGGGAAUAUUGCACAAUGGGCGCAAGCCUGAUGCAGCCAUGCCGCGUGUAUGAAGAAGGCCUUCGGGUUGUAAAGUACUUUCAGCGGGGAGGAAGGGAGUAAAGUUAAUACCUUUGCUCAUUGACGUUACCCGCAGAAGAAGCACCGGCUAACUCCGUG
rnacentral:rRNA from 1 species